rnacentral:rRNA from 1 species
CCUACGGGUGGCAGCAGUGGGGAAUAUUGCGCAAUGGGCGAAAGCCUGACGCAGCGACGCCGCGUGAGGGAUGAAGUUCUUCGGAUUGUAAACCUCUGUCAGCAGGGAAGAAAGGUCAUCGGGCUAAUCAGUAGUGAAUUGACGGUACCUGCAAAGGAAGCACCGGCUAACUCCGUGACAGCAGCGGCGGUAAUACGGUGGGUGCGUGUGUUGAUCGGAUUUACUGGGCGUAAAGCGAGCGUAGGCGGUAUGUCAAGUCAAGGGUGAAAUCCCCGCGCUCAACGGUGGAACUGCCUUUGAAACUGGCAAACUGGAGUGUAGGAGAGGUAGGUGGAAUUCGUGGUGUAGCGGUGAAAUGCGUAGAUAUCAGGAGGAACAUCAGUGGCGAAGGCGGCUAUCUGG